CGGCGGACGGGUGAGUAACGCGUGGGUAACCUGCCUCAUACAGGGGGAUAACAGUUGGAAACGGCUGCUAAUACCGCAUAAGCGCACAGUACCGCAUGGUACCGUGUGAAAAACUCCGGUGGUAUGAGAUGGACUCGCGUCUGAUUAGCUAGUUGGUGGGGUAACGGCCUACCAAGGCGACGAUCAGUAGCCGACCUGAGAGGGUGACCGGCCACAUUGGGACUGAGACACGGCCCAA
rnacentral:rRNA from 1 species